ACGGAAGGCAGCAGUGAGGAAUAUUGGUCAAUGGACGGAAGUCUGAACCAGCCAAGUCGCGUGAAGGAAGACGGUUCUAUGGGUUGUAAACUUCUUUUGCUCGAGGGUAAAGUGAGCCACGUGUGGCUUAUUGCAAGUAUCGAGUGAAUAAGCAUCGGCUAACUCCGUGCCAGCAGCCGCGGUAAUACGGAGGAUGCGAGCGUUAUCCGGAUUUAUUGGGUUUAAAGGGUGCGUAGGCGGGAUGUUAAGUCGGCGGUGAAAGUUUGCGGCUCAACCGUAAAAUUGCCGUUGAAACUGGCGUUCUUGAGUGUAAACGAGGGAGGCGGAAUGUAACGUGUAGCGGUGAAAUGCUUAGAUAUGUUACAGAACCCCGAUUGCGGAGGCAGCUUACCAGCAUACAACUGACGCUGAGGCACGAAAGCGUGGGUAUCAAACAGGAUUAGAUACCCUGGUA
rnacentral:rRNA from 1 species